AUUGAACGCUGGCGGCAGGCCUAACACAUGCAAGUCGAACGGUAGCACAGAGAGCUUGCUCUCGGGUGACGAGUGGCGGACGGGUGAGUAAUGUCUGGGAAACUGCCCGAUGGAGGGGGAUAACUACUGGAAACGGUAGCUAAUACCGCAUAACGUCGCAAGACCAAAGAGGGGGGACCUUCGGGCCUCUUGCCAUCGGAUGUGCCCAGGUAGGAGUUAGUCUUGUUAGGUUGGUAGGG
rnacentral:rRNA from 1 species